GGACGUAGCUCAGUGGUAGAGCACAUGCUUAGCAUGCACGAGGUCCUAGGUUCAAUCUCUAGUACCUCUG
rnacentral:tRNA from 1 species